CUACGGGGGGCUGCAGUUAGGAAUAUUUUGCAAUGCGCGCAAGCGUGACAAAUUGAGCCAGAGUGUUUUUCAAAUGAAAGACUUUUGCCGAAUGUAAAAAGUUCGGCGAAUAAGGACUGGGUAAGACUAGUGCCAGCCGCCGCGGUAAUACUAGCGUCCAAGUCGCAGCCAUUUUUAUUGGGUCUAAAACAUCCGUAGCUUGCUUAAUAAGUUUCUUGUGAAAUUUUAUAUCUCAAAUAUGAAAAGUGCAAGAAGUACUGUUGAGCUAGAGACUGGAAGACGUAAGAAGUAUGUUCGAAGUAGCGGUAAAAUGUGUUAAUCUCAGACAGACUAACAACAGCGAAGGCAUCUUACGAGGACAGUUCUGACAGUAAGGGAUGAAAGCUAGGGGCGCAAAACGGAUUAGAUACCCCCGUAGUC
rnacentral:rRNA from 1 species